GAGAACAGAGCAACAAGUGCGUCAGUACACUUCAGCAGCCAGUCUCUCACUGUUUACAACAGAAAAUUAUAACGACAUCUGCUGUAGAGUCCCAACCCCCUGGGACCUGCAAACAACAAUGUCACAAAGAAGGAUUUCAAUGUUUUUUGCUCCAAAAGUGGUUGGCAGCCAAGGAGGUAUGAUAGCAGAUAAGGAUGCAGUCAGGGUUCAUGCAGGAGACCAAAGGGAGGAGAGUGCAAGUUCAGAGAUAAGGGCAGAGUCAGCAUACAUAGAUGCAGCUGCCAGUGAUGCUGCUGACCAGAGUGAGGACAGUGCAAGUGCAAGUGCAGGUACCUGUAGGCUAUGUGAGGAGUAUCUAUACCAAUAUCUCUAGUCCAGAAUUGUAUAAUAUUCAGCAGUGUAUCCCAGUAUACAUCCUUGCCAGUGCCCAUUAAAAUACAGGUGGCUCAGGGUCAGGGAGCACAGGGAACCUGUUAGGAAAGAAUGAUUUAGGGACACGAGAAACAGGCCCAAAGCAGCCCAGACGGGACCAGUACCCCUCCACUAGUUUUUGAAAGCAGCAACGGUCUUUCCAGUACAAAUGGUUUGAAUCUUUUGACUGGCUGGAGUAUUCUUUGAGC
ensembl:lncRNA